CUUCGGGGGGCUGCUCUCCCUCUCAUCCUGACUCUCCAUGUCGACUUUCAGCUCGUUGACAGCGAUGUGGGACUAAAGACUACUUUCAAAAAAGGAUGUCGAUGUAGAUCGCAGUAGUUGUGGUUAGUUUGCAACAGUUUCCUUGUCCACAUCCACAGUGAAAGUUCCUACAACCAAGCGAUUUGCUACAUGCACAACAACAUGUGCUCGCCCUGCCGAUCAGCUGCAAAAUCCAUGUUAUCAAAAUAUCUCCGAUGCACAGUUUCUCCUUCUUGGAUUUCAGAUGCAGUCUUCCAAAUGUGAUCCUUUCUUCCACAACGCCUUGGAGGCGGAGCGGCUGUUGCGCGUUGACGACCCGCCCAUCCAGCCCAUGUGCUGGGGGAGUGGGCAGGGCGCAGCGCGGUGUGAAACGUGACAGGACCAAGCUCCACCUUCCCCUCCUGUGCAGAAUAACUGGAAAGCCUCUUCCAUGGUAGUGUUUGGACAUUUUUUGCAGCCCCCAGCAGGACCAUAAAUCUGUGAAUUGUAACUACCUAACUGCCAGAAGUGGAAGAAGUAGCCUACAAAGUUAAACUACCAGAGUCUGGGAAUACUAUGUUCCAAGUAAAGGUCCUGCAUUCAAAAUGUUACUCAAGUAAAAAAAAGUACAAAAGCAUUGGCAUCAAAAUAUACCUAGAAUACCUAACGUAAAAGUAGCCGACUCUCAUUAUGCAAAUUGGCCCAUUUCAGGAUAAUAAUCUAUGUUUUGAUUACUGAUGCAUUAAUGUGUUUAUUAAAGCUGGUAAAGGUGCAUAUAGUUGUAAUGACUUUGUGUAGGGUAGCUUUUGAGUGUUACUCCAGGUGUGAUUAAAGUCUUAUUUAAGUGAUGUUUAUACUUCACAUUUGUAUUCCAAAUCUGCAAAGUAACUAAAAGUAUUAAAUACAUUUAGUGGAAUAAAAGUACACUAUUUACCUCUGAAUUCUAGUGGGGUAGAAGUGCAAAGUAGAAAUACAUUGAAAUACUCAAGUAAACUUCCUCAAAAUUGUACUUAAGUACAGUACUUUAGAUUAGAACAUGUACUUUUCCAUACUGCUAACUGGUACAUUAAGCACACGUUUUCAAGACCAGACUUGGCCAAAUAAUAUGUUGGCAGAAGUAUUUGCAGUACUCUACUUAAGCAGUUCUUAACUAAAUGUUUACAAGCAGUCUUGGAAAGCUGUACUCACAUCUGAUAUCCUAAGAUGUUCCCAUCUACCCAAUGCAAUCAUGUUAAGACGCCGCCUAUCCCCAAAAUAGUAUCUGUGCCAUAUAUAACCUCAUCACUCAGGCAGGAGCCACUAGAGCUCUGCUACCCUACAGACCUCACGUCACCUUACUGUAUGUGUAUACACAUUAGAAAUGUAACUGUAUACCACCAGUUGAUGAAAUAAUAUGGUUGUUCUUUUUUUGUUAUGAGUGUUGACAUUGUAUCUAAUUGACUGGUUACAAUGCAUUGCAGCGAAAUUUGAAAUAAGAUGGUAAUCCUUUCCUCUAUGGUUCACAGAAUAGAGUAGAUAACAUGGAGCAAAUAAGGGAUGGUGGCUAAUAGUCUUAAUAAGUACCUUACAUGUAUUCUGAUUACUGAAGUUGGCAACAAAUAACCAUGCAAUGAAGAUUUACAUUUAAUAAUUGUUUGCAUCAUUGUUGUAUUGCAUGAAGAGAGGACUAACCACAGAACAAAAAAAGCAAAGGUUUCCACGGUAACGAACAAUAGCCAUUUCAGCAUUACCAAGAAAAUAACACAACAAAGUAAGUUUUCAUAAUUUAGAUGUAUAGAAAAAGCCCUGUAAAAAUGUUGUGUGGAUGAUUUCCCUCCCAAACAGAAAUAGCCAACAAGUAAAACUAUACAGUACAUAUCCACCCAUCUCUAACCUCAGGUAAACAAUACAGCAAUAUGGCAAAGAUCAUGGUUUCACUAUGGAAAUGUAAUUAAAUUCUGUGCAGUCUAAAAGAA